UUCUAAUAGUGGAGUUGGUGCAUAAGAGACUGGCAUGCUGCUUUUCAAUCAGGGGAAUACGAAGUGACAUUAGCCUUGUGCCAGUUGGUGUUUCUGUGAGAUUUGCCAGGAGACAGUUCAUUUACGGCGAUGCCCACGCCAUGCAGAUGUUGCCCUUCUGGGGGGUGUCCCUUCCAGGAGAAUGUGAAGCCCUCUCCUUCCUCCCUGAGUAAACCUUCACCCAGCAGAUGUUGCCCUCCAACAGCUCCAGUCUGUUGGAGGACCGCCUUUCAAGCGGUCCUGGUAACUGGUAACUGGUGAAUGGUAACAGGUAACUGGUAACUGGUGAAUGGUGAAUGGUAACAGGUAACAGGUAACUGGUAACAGGUAACUGGUAACUGGUAACUGGUAACAGGUAACAGGUAACUGGUAACUGGUAACUUGUAACUGGUAACUGGUAACAGGUAACUGGUAACUGGUAACAGGUAACUGGUAACUGGUAACUGGUAACUGGUAACAGGUAACUGGUAACUGGUAAAUGGUAACAGGUAAAUGGUAACAGGUAACUGGUAACUGGUAACUUGUAAAUGGUAAAUGGUAACUGGUAACUGGUAACUGGUAACUUGUAACUGGUAACUGGUAACUUGUAAAUGGUAACAGGUAACUGGUAAAUGGUAACUGGUAACUGGUAACUGGUAACUGGUAACUUGUAACAGGUAACUGGUAACUGGUAACUUGUAAAUGGUAACAGGUAACUGGUAACUGGUAACAUGUAACUGGUAACAUGUAACUGGUAACUGGUAACUUGUAACUUGUAACUGGUAACUUGUAAAUGGUAACAGGUAACUGGUAAAUGGUAACUGGUAACUGGUAACUUGUAAAUGGUAACAGGUAACUGGUAAAUGGUAACUGGUAACUGGUAACUGGUAACUGGUAACUGGUAACUUGUAAAUGGUAACAGGUAACUGGUAACUGGAAACUUGUAAAUGGUAACUUGGAACUUGGAACUUGUAAAUGGUAACAGGUAACUGGUAACUGGUAAAUGGUAACAGGUAACUGGUAACUGGUAAAUGGUAACAGGUAACUGGUAAGUGGUAAGUGGUAACUGGUAACUGGUAACUGGCAACAGGUAACUGGUAACUGGUAAAUGGUAACAGGUAAGUGGUAAGUGGUAAGUGGUAACUGCAAACAAAAAUAAAACCUGAUAAUAAAGUGUCUUAGUAGGGCGUUGGGCUACAACCAGCUGCCAGAACCGUUUCAAUCAGCCUUGGCAUUGAUUCUACAAGUAUCUGGAACUCUUGGUGGGAUGUGACACCAUUCUUCCUCCUGGAAUUCCAUCAUGUGGUGUUUUGUUGAUGGUGGUGGAAAACGCUGUCUCCAGAAUCUCCCAUAAGUGUUCAAUUGGUUUGAAAUCUGGCGACUGAAACACACCUUUUAAAACCCCUGUGCUCCUUCGAGACUCCUGAGGUCUUUUCUUCUAGCAACGGUAGUCAAAAUAAUGAGCAACUGGGCAUUUUUUUUAAUAUCCUACAAGACCCUAAGCAUGAUGGGAUGUUCAUUGCUUAAUUAACUCAGGAACCACACCUGUGUGGAAUCACCUGCUUUCAAUAUACUUUAUAUCCCUCAUUUACUCAAGUGUUUCUUUUAUUUUGUCAGUUACCUGUACAUUUAUGCCAAAUAGAUUUGAAUAUUAGGUCCUAGAGUAGACCCAUGUUGGCAUAUAAAAACUUAAAAAUGAACAAAGUAUUAUAAUUUGUCUCGAGCCCUGGGUAGCCGUUUUCGGGAGUCCUCCAAUGUAUAAAUGUUUUGAACAUUUGACGCCAUAAUGAUUGGUUUAUUUUGAAGUGUGUUGUUUUAGCAUGACGCCAUAAUGAUUGGUUUAUUUUGAAGUGUGUUGUUUUAGCAUGACGCCAUAAUGAUUGGUUUAUUUUGAUGUCUGUUGUUUUAGCAUGACGCCAUAAUGAUUGGUUUAUUUUGAAGUGUGUUGUUUUAGCAUGACGCCAUAAUGAUUGGUUUAUUUUGAAGUCUGUUGUUUUAGCAUGACGCCAUAAUGAUUGGUUUAUUUUGAUGUCUGUUGUUUUAGCAUGACGCCAUAAUGAUUGGUUUAUUUUGAAGUGUGUUGUUUUAGCAUGACGCCAUAAUGAUUGGUUUAUUUUGAAGUGUGUUGUUUUAGCAUGACGCCAUAAUGAUUGGUUUAUUUUGAUGUCUGUUGUUUUAG
rnacentral:lncRNA from 1 species